UCCGGUGUGGUUUAGUUGGCUAUAAUACCUGCGUGAUCGCGUUGUCAUCUCCACUCGGGGAUGGCAGGAGACCUGAGUUCGAUCCUCAGCGCCGGAC